rnacentral:lncRNA from 1 species
UUAGUGGAAUCAUCUCAAGAUCUUUCACAGGUUCCUCAUAUUCUUCAAUCAGCUCAUCAUGGGCGUCCAGUCCAUCAACAAGGUAUACUUUAAAAGGUGCCACAUCACAAAGUAUGAUGGUGUAGCACUUCAGAGUCUCCCCAAACUUCUCCAACCCUAAACUUAGUUGCAAACUUUAUCUUCAGAUGAUAGGUAGAAACUAUAGCUUGGAGCUCAUUGAGUCCUAGAUAUCCAAGGAUGGCAUUGUAGGCUGAUGGUGCCCAAACCAUGAGAAAGUCAACCUGAGCCGUGGAU